rnacentral:misc_RNA from 1 species
AUAUGUGUUUUUUGUGAUCUCUUUCUCAGUUUGCUAGCUGGUAAUGGGGUUGCUGCAUUAGUAAUCUGCUAAUAUCUAGCAACUGCUGCCAAUUUGAGCAUGGUUGCUAACAGAAGCUGGGAUUGUAGUUUUCCCNCACUUCUUUUAUUGCCCUCUUCUAUCUCAUAUGCUUUUUGUUGAUAUAUUUCAAGUAAGGUGUGAGGUAGUGCAGAGAUUUUACCUGACAAAGAAUACAGAAAUGAUAUCAUGACCAGAUCUUUGUAUUUGAUAAUUUUACUUACGGCAUCUAUAAGGGGCACACAGUGUGUUAGGAUGGUUUUGUUGACAUGCAUGCUACCUGUGUGAGUGUGGGGCUGGUAAGUUAGUUAUCUCCUUGUAAAGAGUUGUGGGUAUUUUUGGGGGC